GACGAACGCUGGCGGCGUGCCUAAUACAUGCAAGUAGAACGCACAGUUUAUGCCGUAGCUUGCUACACCAUAGACUGUGAGUUGCGAACGGGUGAGUAACGCGUAGGUAACCUGCCUGGUAGCGGGGGAUAACUAUUGGAAACGAUAGCUAAUACCGCAUAAUAUUAAUUAUUGCAUGAUAAUUAAUUGAAAGGUGCAAUUGCACCACUACCAGAUGGACCUGCGUUGUAUUAGCUAGUAGGUGAGGUAACGGCUCACCUAGGCGACGAUACAUAGCCGACCUGAGAGGGUGCUCGGCCACACUGGGACUGAGACACGGCCCAGACUCCUACGGGAGGCAGCAGUAGGGAAUCUUCGGAAAUGGACGAAAGUCUGACCGAGCAACGCCGCGUGAGUGAAGAAGGUUUUCGGAUCGUAAAGCUCUGUUGUAAGAGAAGAACGGGUGUGAGAGUGGAAAGUUCACACUGUGACGGUAUCUUACCAGAAAGGGACGGCUAACUACGUG
rnacentral:rRNA from 1 species